rnacentral:rRNA from 1 species
GCGGCGCAUUAGCUAGUUGGUGAGGUAACGGCUCACCAAGGCGACGAUGCGUAGCCGACCUGAGAGGGUGAUCGGCCACAUUGGGACUGAGACACGGCCCAGACUCCUACGGGAGGCAGCAGUGGGGAAUAUUGCACAAUGGGGGAAACCCUGAUGCAGCAACGCCGCGUGAGUGAUGAAGGCCUUCGGGUUGUAAAGCUCUGUCUUCAGGGACGAUAAUGACGGCACCUGAGGAGGAAGCCACGGCUAACUACGUGCCA